rnacentral:misc_RNA from 1 species
GUGCCCAGAAGCAAACCAUCUUGCUUCUACUAGAAAUGCAUCGCACAAACUUGCCCACGUUUUUCGCAGAGAAUCUACAGGGUUCCAACCAUGCUGUUUGUAGACCUUGUAGCUAAUUUCAUUAGUGACGUUGUCAAGAGCCUUGAAGCAUGUCUUCAUGUAGUCUGGUAAUUGUUCAGCGGCAGCUAUGUCCCAUCUUUUGAUAACUUCUGUAAAUGAGAUGAGUCCAUCAAGAGUCCCAUGAACGUCGAAAAUAUCAUCUAUUAGGUAAAUAAAAGAGAUGGGUUUUGUAAGGUCUAUCCUCUGCUCUGACCAGCUUGGAUCUAUGAGGGUUGCCAUGGACCAUAUGUACCAUUUUAGUGGCUGGUUUCUUGCGAACUUUAGCUCCUUUGAUAAACCGAGGUCUUUCCACCACCUUGAUAUUUGAAGAAUUUCUUGUUGAUAUUGAGAUUGGAUUUUCAUAAAAUCUAACUUAGCAAGUUGUUGCAGUUCAUUCAUCCACACAUUUCCCCCCUGAAAAUCUCUAAUAAAGUGUUUGGCCAUGAACCUGGCCAAGCUUUUGUGAUGUGGGUAAUCGAGUGUAUCCUUUAUUGCUCUAGCUUGAUUAUAGUCAAGCUGUGUCGCCCAUGAAUUUAGAAGCCGGUAACUAUAGUCUCCAGCUUCGUCAAGUAUAUC